GACGAACGCUGGCGGCGUGCUUAACACAUGCAAGUCGAGCGGUAAGGCCCUUUUGGGGGUACACGAGCGGCGAACGGGUGAGUAACACGUGGGUGACCUGCCCUCAGCUCUGGGAUAAGCCUGGGAAACUGGGUCUAAUACUGGAUAUGACCUUUCCUCGCAUGGGGUUGGGUGGAAAGUUUUUCGGCUGGGGAGUGGGCCCGCGGCCUAUCAGCUUGUUGGUGGGGUGAUGGCCUACCAAGGCGACGACGGGUAGCCGGCCUGAGAGGGCGACCGGCCACACUGGGA
rnacentral:rRNA from 1 species